CAUAUAUAUUCUUCUCAAGAAAACAUGAAGAUUUUCACAUUUGUUUUCAUUGCCAUUCUCCUCAUACAGGUUUUCGCUGAGGCUGUUUCCAUUAACAAUGCCGAAGAUACUGCUGCACAGGAUACAGAAAGGAAGUUGCAUGGAGAUAUUGACACUACAAUAACUGAUGGAAACAUUGGGCAGCAGCAGGUCGCAAAAACUGAAAAUAAUAGAGGUCCAGUUAAUC